ensembl:snoRNA small nucleolar RNA SNORD37
GCCAGUGAUGACUUUAACAUUCUUCACUUUGACCUGAUUAGUCAGUGAUGUGAAUUCUCAGUCUGAGC